AUUGAACGCUGGCGGCAUGCCUUACACAUGCAAGUCGAACGGCAGCGGACCUUCGGGUGCCGGCGAGUGGCGAACGGGUGAGUAAUAUAUCGGAACGUACCUUUCAGUGGGGGAUAACGUAGCGAAAGUUACGCUAAUACCGCAUAUUCUGUGAGCAGGAAAGCAGGGGAUCGCAAGACCUUGCGCUGAUUGAGCGGCCGAUAUCAGAUUAGCUAGUUGGUGAGGUAAAGGCUCACCAAGGCGACGAUCUGUAGCGGGUCUGAGAGGAUGAUCCGCCACACUGGAACUGAGACACGGUCCAGACUCCUACGGGAGGCAGCAGUGGGGAAUUUUGGACAAUGGGCGCAAGCCUGAUCCAGCCAUGCCGCGUGAGUGAAGAAGGCCUCGGUUGUAAAGUACGUCUUUCGGUCCGGGUAACGGAAAGUACGCGA
rnacentral:rRNA from 1 species